rnacentral:rRNA from 1 species
UACGUAGGGGGCAAGCGUUGUCCGGAUUUAUUGGGCGUAAAGAGCGUGUAGGCGGCCAUGUAGGUCCGUUGUGAAAACUGGAGGCUUAACCUCCAGCGGUCGAUGGAAACCAUUUGGCUAGAGUCCGGAAGAGGAGAGUGGAAUUCCUGGUGUAGCGGUGAAAUGCGCAGAUAUCAGGAAGAACACCCGUGGCGAAGGCGGCUCUCUGGGACGGUACUGACGCUGAGACGCGAAAGCGUGGGGAGCGAACAGG